rnacentral:rRNA from 1 species
UACGUAGGGUGCGAGCGUUAAUCGGAAUUACUGGGCGUAAAGCGCGCGCAGGCGGCCCGCCAGGUCCGGCGCUGAAAGCCCCCGGCUCAACCGGGGAGGGUCGUCGGGGACCGGCGGGCUCGAGGGCGGCAGGGGCCGGUGGAAUUCCCGGUGUAGUGGUGAAAUGCGUAGAGAUCGGGAGGAACACCCGUGGCGAAGGCGGCCGGCUGGGCCGUCCCUGACGCUGAGGCGCGAAGGCGUGGG